UACGGAGGGUGCGAGCGUUGUCCGGAAUCACUGGGCGUAAAGGGCGCGUAGGCGGGAUGGCAAGUCGGUCGUGAAAUCCCUCGGCUCAACCGAGGAACGUCGAUCGAUACUGCUGUUCUUGAGGAUUGCAGAGGAGACUGGAAUUCCCGGUGUAGCGGUGAAAUGUGUAGAGAUCGGGAGGAACACCGGUGGCGAAGGCGGGUCUCUGGGGCAAUUCCUGACGCUGAGGCGCGAAAGCUAGGGGAGCGAACGGG
rnacentral:rRNA from 1 species